rnacentral:lncRNA from 1 species
CUAAGUAAAGACAUACAUUCAUUUAUUCAUUUCUCAGAUGUUGUCUAAUGCCUUCUGUGUGCCAGGUGCUGUUCUAGGCACUUGAAGAUACAAAGAGGAGCAAAACAGACAAAAACUCCUGCCCUCUUGGACCUCACUUGGUAAAGGGGAGACAGAGAGGAAACAGAAGAGACUGAAAAAUAUACAUCGUACAGUGGUGUCAGACGUUGGUAAGUGAAAGGAAGAAACAUCGAUUAGAAUAACUCCUCACCUUAGUGAGGAGGAUGCUAAGUUAGAUAAGAUUAUGAUGUGAUGUUUCUCUGAUCAGAUGACAAUUUAGUGGAGACCUCAACGAAGCAAGGGAACGAGACCUAUGGAUAUGUUGGGCGGUGUUUUUCAGGCAGGGAGCAGCUAGUGACAGAUCCUUGAGAAUGGAACACACCUGGAAGUUUCGAGCAAUGGCAAGUGCGCUGGCUAGAGCACCAAGACUGACCCGUCGAGUGGGUGAGGCAGUGAGGCCACAGGAUCUUACCAGAGGCGCUCAACAGUUUGGGUACCCAAGCAAGGACAGGAAUAAUGAAGAGACACAUGUGUUAGCUGCAACCUUUUGAAAUAAGCAAGAAGGAAAUCAGCAGUGUGGACAAGGCUGGAACCGUUGCCACGCUUGCUUGUCGGAGUGAAUGAGGAAUGGGCUUGU